rnacentral:lncRNA from 1 species
UUUAAAUUGGAAGAGGGGAGAUUUAGAUUAGAUAUAAGGAAGAAAUUCUUUACAGUGAGGGUGGUGAGACACUGGAACAGGUUGCCCAGGGAAGUUGUGGAAGCCCCAUCCCUCAAAGUGUUUAAGGCCAGGCUGGAUGGGGCUGUGAGCAACCUGCUCUGGUGGGAGGUGUCCCUGCCCAUGGCAGGGGGGUUGGAACUAGAUGAUUUUUAAUGUCCCUUCCAACUCUAACCAUUCUAUGAGUGUAUGAUUCUCAUAGGUCAGCGGGGGCUAUCAGUGACAUUCCCUCUCAGCUCCCCUUGCAGGAAAUGAGCAAAACUCUGAGUACUGCUUUUCACUACAAGACAGGAAAAAAACCCCUGAAAUUCAGUGCCCAUCGUGUUCCCGGCACCUCGCCUCCCCUGCGUAGGAGGGUUAUGCAGUUUGUCUCCUACAGAUAGCUCAGCUUGUAAAACAUUGAGUGGUUGGCUGGUGAAAAUUUCAAGAUUGGACAGGAUUGUCCCAGCAACGCAAGGGACUGAAGGGUUUGUUUUCUGGUUUCAACCUCUUCAAGACAAAAGCCACCCUUUCAUCUGUAUUUUUACGAUGCUUGGAGCAACGGUUGGAGACUGUGCCUGCUGGAAUACUGUCUGUGUUUAUUAAUAGCAAUAACAACAAAAGGCGGAAGCUAAUGGAGACAAAGGAUGGGAACGUUCUUGGUGUGGUUGGAAAGAAAAAUUUCAAAAAUGUGACCCCUAACGUUGCAGAAACCAGACUACAUGUAAGAAGACUUAAAAUGGUUAUUUUUCUAAUCUCAUUAUUUCAAGAUCAGUAUCAUAGUAUGGUGAUCAUGUAACAAAUUGAGGGAGUCUAGAGUUGACAUAUUAACUAAAACAUUAACCAUAGUUACAUCAAAAAUUGUUAUCCAAAAC